AGCACAAUCGGCGCGAAGGGCAGAGGUCAGCCCCCCUCCCCCCGCCUCCCCUGCCCUCCAGCCUUUCUGAAGCAUCCGCGCCUUUGGACUGAUAGCGGACUGUACGGACGUUCAGGCCGAUCCAGACGUACAGGUUGUCAAAAUACUGAAGUGUUUCUUAACAGACUCUCCGUGCGUCUAUGACCCCCCGCCUCCGCGAGUCUCCCAAGUGCCACCAUCACCCCAGCCCCGUCCUAGGACUUCUGGAUCUCCCCACAAUCCAGCCCCCAAAGAGUUCACGUUGGCUCUGGCUAUGCUUUUGCCAGAACAGAUGCGAUGCUCAGGAGAGCAGAGAGGAGUGUUGGCAACCCCCUGAUGUGGCAGCCAGGAAGACCUGGGUUUGAAUCCCGACCCUGCCCCCCACCCCACCCCCAGCUGUGUGACUUUAAGCGAGUAGGAAGCCUCUCUGAACUUGUGUUCCCUCUUCUGUGAAAUGGAAGUCGUGAGGGAACAUCACCUGUCGGGCUGUGGUGAGGACAAGGGAAUAGAAACGAGCCAAUAUACAUAAAGAGCCGAAGGGGCGCCUGGGUGGCUCAGUCCGUUGCGCAUCUGAUUCUUUUUUUUUUUUAAUUUUUUUUAACGUUUAUUUAUUUUUGAGACAGGGAGAGACAGAGCAUGAACAGGGGAGGGGCAGAGAGAGAGGGAGACACAGAAUCUGAAACGGGCUCCAGGCUCCGAGCUGUCAGCACAGAGCCCGACGCGGGGCUCGAACUCACGGACCGCGAGAUCAUG